AUGUAUUAGGCUGUUCUUGCAUGUAUAUUAAAAUUGGAACGAUACAGAGGAGAUUAGCAUGACCCCUGUGCAAGGAUGACAUGCAAAUUUGUGAAGCGUUCUAUAUGUUU
ensembl:snRNA U6 U6 spliceosomal RNA